UUCAAAUGACAGUGAUAAAUUUUCGCCCAUUGAUACGAAAAUAUAUCCACGUUGAAUACCGAUAACACACUCUGAAAGAAGGAAAGAAGUACACCUGAAAAUCUGUACAUUUUCAAUACGAUUUAUCCUCCAUUUGCCAGUUGUCUCAUUUUAUUAACGUCACUGGUGUCAGUCGUACUCUGCAAGCCCCGGUAGGUGUUUCCUCUCAGAUGGAAAAGGGGAGUUCUUGCUUCGCGUUACCUAAAUUUUUGAAGGGUUUAAGACCUGAACGCAGCCUCUGCAUAGUGACCGGUGUGUUGGCUUAGUUGGUAGAGCGUCCGGGAGUUCUUAGCCCGCGUCAGGUCAAGAAGUUAAAAGAUGGGAGUUGUUUCUACCCUGUUUGGCGUUCAACGAUUCAAAUGCGCAUUAACGUCACAAUAAGUGAACAGGGCUACUAUUGCAGUUGUGCACUGUCUCGUCUAGUAGUAUUGGAGCAUGUGAAAAGAAACUCCUACCAGCCCUCAUCGCCCAGGAUCGACGCCAGUGGGGAUCCCUUUCGCGGAUCAAUGCCCAUGUGCAUGGAAAGAA